GAGGGUAUAGCUCAAGUGGUAGAGCGCAUGCUUAACAUGCAAGGUCCUGGAUUCAAUUCCCAGUACCUCCU
rnacentral:tRNA from 1 species